rnacentral:pre_miRNA from 17 species
CUUCAGACUGAUGCAAGUUGCCCCCAGCUGUGAGAACUGAAUUCCAUGAGUUGUUCGAGCUACUGUUUCUCAGCCCAUGGUUCUCAGUUCUGCAGCUUGGAAGCAUUUUAUGUCUAAUGGGUGA